GCCGGCGUAGCUCAAGCGGCAGAGCGACUGACUUGUAAUCAGUAGGCUAUGGGUUCGACUCCCAUCGCCGGCU
rnacentral:tRNA from 1 species